rnacentral:rRNA from 1 species
CCUGCGCCGAAAAUGUCCGGGGCUGAAACACAACACCGAAGCUGCGGAAUCACGCAAGUGAUUGGUAGAGGAGCAUUCUUAAUGCCGACGAAGCUGUACCGGAAGGAGCAGUGGAGGGAUAAGAAGAGAGAAUGCCGGAAUGAGUAGCGAGAGAGAGGUGGGAAUCCUCUCGGCCGAAUAUCCAAGGUUUCCAGAGUAAAGCUGAUCUGCUCUGGGUAAGUCGGGGCCUAAGGCGAGGUCAAGAGACGUAGCCGAUGGACAACAGGUUUAGAUUCCUGUACCGCAUAUAAACAGAACUGUGGGGACGCAUGGGGAGAGCAUGGGCCGGGAAUGGAAAUACCGGUGCAAGCGAAGGAGGUGUGCAGCCGGCAAAUCCGCUGCAUGAGCCGAAAGCGUGACGCGGAGCGAAAUGAAAGUAGCGAAGCAUGUGAGCCCUGUGCCGAGAAAAGCCGCUAUAGCUUUAUAUGUGCCCGUACCGUAAACCGACACAGGUGGAUGAGGAGAGAAUCCUAAGGCCGGCGGAAGAAGUAUUGUUAAGGAACUCGGCAAAAUGACCCCGUAACUUCGGGAGAAGGGGUGCCCACGGGAGUGGGCCGCAGAGAAUAGGCUCAAGCAACUGUUUAGCAAAAACACAGGUCUAUGCGAAACCGAAAGGUGAAGUAUAUGGGCUGACGCCUGCCCGGUGCUGGAAGGUUAAGAGGAGAGGUCAGCGCAAGCGAAGCUUUGAAUUUAAGCCCCAGUAAACGGCGGCCGUAACUAUAACGGUCCUAAGGUAGCGAAAUUCCUUGUCGGGUAAGUUCCGACCCGCACGAAAGGCGUAAUGAUUUGAGCACUGUCUCGACAAUACAUCCGGUGAAAUUGAAGUACCAGUGAAGAUGCUGGUUACCCGCGCCAGGACGGAAAGACCCCAUGGAGCUUUACUCCAGUUUGGUACUGGGAUUCGGUACUGCACGUACAGGAUAGGUGGGAGACUGAGAAACUUGAACGCCAGUUUGAGUGGAGUCGCUGUUGGGAUACCACCCCUGCAGUAUUGGAUUUCUAACCAGUCACCGUGAUCCGGUGAUGGGACAAUGCCAGGCGGGGAGUUUGACUGGGGCGGUCGCCUCCGAAAGGGUAUCGGAGGCGC